UUGAACGCUGGCGGCAUGCCUUACACAUGCAAGUCGAACGGUAACGCGGGGGCAACCCUGGCGACGAGUGGCGAACGGGUGAGUAAUACAUCGGAACGUGUCCUGUUGUGGGGGAUAACCCAUCGAAAGGUGAGCUAAUACCGCAUGAUCUGGAGACAGCAAAGCAGGGGACCGGAAACGGCCUUGCGCGAUUGGAGCGGCCGAUGUCCGAUUAGCUAGUUGGUGGGGUAAAGGCCCACCAAGGCAACGAUCGGUAGCUGGUCUGAGAGGAUGAUCAGCCACACUGGGACUGAGACACGGCCCAGACUCCUACGGGAGGCAGCAGUGGGGAAUUUUGGACAAUGGGGGCAACCCUGAUCCAGCCAUGCCGCGUGAGUGAAGAAGGCCUUCGGGUUGUAAAGCUCUUUCGGCCGGGACGAAAUCGGGCGAGUGAAUAGCUUGCCUGGAUGACGGUACCGGAAGAAGAAG
rnacentral:rRNA from 1 species